rnacentral:lncRNA from 1 species
AGGCUGACUGUCUGCUGUGGUUAGAAAGAGAGAUCACCACCAGGCUGGCUGUGGCUUUAGUAACAGGGAUCAUCAACUCCAGGCUGACUGUCUGCUGUGGCUUUAGUAACAGGGAUCAUCAACUCCAGGCUGACUGUCUGCUGUGGCUUUGCAGUGUUGUUUACCCUGAUGCUUUAGACACGUGCAGAAACACACACACACACACACGAGCAUAGAAACACAUAGUAACGGACACACUCAAACACAUGCAGUUGCAGAAACAACCUGUAAACACACACUUGCAGAAAAACACAAUUAUACUGUCAUAGUGCUUGCGCUUGUGGAAACUUAGCAACUGUCAACAUACAUUCUCAGGGAUUUCUCAACAAAAAAAGCAAAGGAAAAUAAAAAAGAGAGAAUGAGAGCAUUUUAUUGUACUGUAUAUAUAAUAGUAUA